rnacentral:rRNA from 1 species
AUGAGCUUCUACGGCGUCCAUGAGACCCUCCAUCAGGAGGUUGCCAAAUACCAGUCGAGGUUUUUUUGGGCUGGUGAGGGCGACAAGCAGAAAUACCAUAUGGUGAGCUGGCCCGACAUUUGCAAACCCAAAGACCAGGGUGGCCUUGGGAUCUUGUCAUCUCGGCACAUGAACAUUGCUCUCCUGACUCGUUGGCUGUGGUGUAUCGCCAAUGGGGAGGGAGGCCUCUGGCUUACCAUCAUCCGUAAUAAGUAUCUUCGGGGCCAGCCUCUUGCCUUUUCCCAGCGUACGGGUGGAUCCCAGUUCUGGCAGUCUGUGAUCCAGCUUCUGCCCGUCCUUCGCAUCGGCACGUCCAUCUCAAUUGGAUCCGGGUCCUCGACCCUGUUCUGGUUCGACCGUUGGUUAGGGGACUCCCCCCUGGCUGCGGGAUUCCCAAAACUCUUUGCCAUUGCGGCCGACCCUCGGGUCUCUGUCGAGACGGCCCUUAUUGACUUAGGGCGUCUCGCUUUCCGGUGCCCCUUCGGCCCCCUCGAGGUGGCUGCUUGGGACUCCCUCCUCCAAGACAUCGCCCUUAUGCCGAUGAACGUCGAGGAGGACCUGGAUGCCCUUUCAUGGCGCCUUGAGCCGUCUGGCCGCUUCUCCACGAAGUCCUUGUAUGCCGCCAUUGCGCCCUUGGCGGACCGGAGCCCUUUAGCCUGA